UAAGCGGAGGAAAAGAAACUAACAAGGAUUCCCCUAGUAACGGUGAGUGAAGCGGGAAGAGCUCAAAUUUGAAAUCUGGCAGUCUUCGAUUGUCCGAGUUGUAAUCUAGAGAGGCGUUUUCCGUGCCGGACCGUGUCCAAGUCUCCUGGAAAGGAGUAUCAAAGAGGGUGAUAAUCCCGUACUUAACACGACCACCGGUGCUCUGUGAUACGUCUUCUACGAGUCGAGUUGUUUGGGAAUGCAGCUCAAAAUGGGUGGUGAAUUCCAUCUAAAGCUAAAUAUUGGCGAGAGACCGAUAGCGAACAAGUACCGUGAGGGAAAGAUGAAAAGCACUUUGGAAAGAGAGUUAAACAGUACGUGAAAUUGUUGAAAGGGAAACGAUUGAAGUCAGUCGUGUUCUUUGGAUUCAGCCAGUUCUGCUGGUCUACUUCCUUUGAACGGGUCAACAUCAGUUUUGUCCGGUGGAUAAAGGUAGUAGGAAUGUGACUUCUCCGGAAGUGUUAUAGCCUAUUAUCACAUACACCUGGGUGAGACUGAGGACUGCAGCUCGCCUUUAUGGCCGACCUUCGGGUACGUCGAG
rnacentral:rRNA from 1 species